rnacentral:rRNA from 1 species
UAAGACAUGCAAGUCGAACGAACUUAAUCGAUUCUUUUAGAUUCGAAGCGGUUAGUGGCGGACUGGUGAGUAACACGUAAGCAACCUACCUGUUAGAGGGGAAUAACAGUGAGAAAUCACUGCUAAAACCGCAUAUGCCGUGAACAUCGCAUGAUGAAAACGGGAAAAGAGCAAUCUGCUAAUAGAUGGGCUUGCGUCUGAUUAGCUAGUUGGUGUGGUAAAGGCAUACCAAGGCGACGAUCAGUAGCCGGACUGAGAGGUUGAACGGCCACAUUGGGACUGAGAUACGGCCCAGACUCCUACGGGAGGCAGCAGUCGGGAAUAUUGCGCAAUGGAGGAAACUCUGACGCAGUGACGCCGCGUAUGGGAAGAAGGUUUUCGGAUUGUAAACCAUUUUAGACAAGGAAGAAACAAGACAGUACUUGUAGAAUAAGCUCCGGCUAACUACGUGCCAGCAGCCGCGGUAAUACGUAGGGAGCAAGCGUUAUCCGGAUUUAUUGGGUGUAAAGGGUGCGUAGACGGGAAGGUAAGUUAGUUGUGAAAUCCCUCGGCUCAACUGAGGAACUGCGACUAAAACUGCUUUUCUUGAGUGCUGGAGAGGAAAGUGGAAUUCCUAGUGUAGCGGUGAAAUGCGUAGAUAUUAGG